AUUGAACGCUGGCGGCAUGCCUUACACAUGCAAGUCGAACGGCAGCACGGGAGCAAUCCUGGUGGCGAGUGGCGAACGGGUGAGUAAAGUAUCGGAACGUGCCCAGUCGUGGGGGAUAACGUAGCGAAAGUUACGCUAAUACCGCAUACGAUCUAUGGAUGAAAGCGGGGGAUCGCAAGACCUCGCGCGAUUGGAGCGGCCGAUAUCAGAUUAGGUAGUUGGUGGGGUAAAGGCUCACCAAGCCGACGAUCUGUAGCUGGUCUGAGAGGACGACCAGCCACACUGGGACAGAGACACGGCCCAGACUCCUACGGGAGGCAGCAGUGGGGAAUUUUGGACAAUGGGCGAAAGCCUGAUUCAGCCAUGCCGCGUGCAGGAUGAAGGCCUUCGGGUUGUAAACUGCUUUUGUACGGAACGAAAAGGUUUGGCCUAAUAAGCUGAGCUCAUGACGGUACCGUAAGAAUAAGCACCGGCUAACUACGUGCCAGCCGCCGCAGUAA
rnacentral:rRNA from 1 species